rnacentral:rRNA from 1 species
UACGUAGGGAGCAAGCGUUGUUCGGAUUUACUGGGCGUAAAGGGCGCGUAGGCGGCAUGUCAAGUCAGUUGUGAAAUCUCCGGGCUUAACUCGGAACGGCCAAGUGAAACUGUCAAGCUAGAGUGCAGAAGGGGCAAUCGGAAUUCUUGGUGUAGCGGUGAGAUGCGUAGAUAUCAAGAGGAACACCUGAGGUGAAGACGGGUUGCUGGGCUGACACUGACGCUGAGGCGCGAAAGCCAGGGGAGCAAACGGG